UCCCUUUCCUCUCGUUUCUUCGUCCAUGAUCACUUUAUUGAUGAGGUUUUAUUUAGUGAUUUCGGUGCGUUUAUGAGUGGAUCUGGUAAUUGGUUUUGUCAUCAGAGAGUAUCUCGAUUUUCCGUUCGAUUCUCCUAUCAAGAUAAAUUUCUUCUCUAUAUAUCUUUUAUGAGGAUCUCUUCUGAGAUAUUGAGUAGAUUAGUCGAAAGCUGAGAAGCAGGAACAAUUAGAGCUCUUGGAAUCGGCAGUAAAUGCUGCUAAUGACUCUUGGGUUUUGAGGGUUCUGGUGAUGAUGGUGUGGUGGUGCUGAUGAGAAAAAAGAGUAAUCUGUUUUAGUUGAAAGAUCUGAGUUUGGCCUCGUACUUUAAGGAAAUUGAGGUGUGGAAACAAAAGACAAUCUUGAACAGAAGACCAACAUAACUGCACAUUAAGUAGAGAAAAAGCCUGAAAGUACAGAAAAAGGGUGUGGAUGAAACAGGACAUGAUGUUGCACCAUAGAUGUUACUAAGAAGUAGUGGAUACUCUUAUUUGUAUGAGAGACUUUGGCAGGCAGGAAUUAUAGUCAGGAGUACUAGAUGCCAAUGCUGAAACUCGUGCAUCCGAAGAGAACUAAGUGCUUUUGUUCUUGAUCUUGGUUGUGCUCUUCAGGUAUUUCCACUCCAAAUCUUAGGUGUUUGAGCUUUGGAGUUGAGCAUCCAGCUGCUUAAGUUGAUAGAUACAUUUGUCAUGCCUGUAACCUAUAUUCUUGUACCAACUAAGCAGCUGGAGAGGAUUUUGUUUUUGUCCGAGAGUACUUGAAUAAGAUUAAAUUUUUUUUGGGUAGAUUUCAUAAUGAUAAUGAAUAGAAGUAUUCCUUC